UCCUCCAGUUCCUCUUUUGCAGGAUAUAAAUACGACUUAUGUUUAUAUUAUUAAUGACGAGGGGUUUGUAAUAUUUUAAUUAUUGAUACAGCCGCUGGACGAGAGGACCCCGCCACCCCUUCAAAGCCCCUUCGAUUCACCCCGCUGUCAAUCACGAGUGGAAGGACAGUCCACACCACCGUACCUAGCGAUAAUUAAGUGUUUUGUGGACCAUGUGGGGCAUUUAUAAAAGAUGGAGCCGAUUAUUCUCCCCGCUGCACCACUCGAAAUGGAAAUACUUUUUAUUUUUUGGCAGGCAAAGCUCAAACGUGUCUGCGGGGUUCCUUUGCGCUAUGAAAGGACUUUUUUUUUGGCGGUGUAACAACAGGUGACCAACACGGCAGAACAAUUAAAACCGCCGGCCAUCGCUGAGCAACAGAUGGAGGUGCACAACAGGAUAUUCCCACUAAGAGGAUUCCUCUUUCUUUGCCGCGUCACUCUGGACUCCGGACCGACUCUUUGAUCGUGACCCAGCUCGACUGGCUUACGGGGGACCGGUGUAGGGUUGUUGGUUAAGCCCUCUGAAACCAGCCACAACCCGCGUUGACCUGCUUGGCAAACAGAAAUCCGCUGUGAAGAACAUUAAAAUAACCGACCAGGUGGAAUUAGAAAGUCUUUGCUCGUGUCUUGAGCGCCUGAACUCUGACAUUUCACACAGAACUCUGAGGUCGGUGCCAGCUCUCAGUUUGUGAUUGGUCCGGUGUCAAGUUUACUCUCCGGUCGAGUACCUCUGGUAUUAAGGAAGUAUGUAAGUCGAAUGUAUUUACACAGCGCUUUUCACAGGCGUAAAUCACAAAUUGCCGAACGGGAGCCGUAUUUCAGACAAGAAGGAAAACAUAAAUAACACACGGCGACCGCAGAAGGACCACUAAUUCACGAGGUCAGCUUUUCAAACAGAAAACGUAUGAAGAAAAAGCACAAUAAACAGUCAAAUACACAUUUCAAGCACAGACUCAAAGCAGACCUGGAUCAUGAAUUUCCCCCCAAAUGCCAGUAAAUACCAGUAACUUCACAUUUGAAUUGCACGGAUGAAUCGGUGAUAUUAUAAAACUAGAUAUUCUCUGAACACAAAUUCAGUUCCUCAGAAAUAAGUAACAAUCAUUCAUGGUCAUGACAGAGAUGUUAAAUAAGUGUAGAAGGACAUUCCCAUUGAACUCAAUGCAGCGCGGCGGCCAUCAUUUAGUGUGUUAGCUGGUUGGUUUGUUAGUGUUUUAGCUGGUUAGCUUGUUAGCUGGUUAGCUUGUUAGCUGGUUAGCUUGUUAGCUUGUUAGCUGGUUAGUUUGUUAGUGUUUUAGCUGGUUAGCUUGUUAGCUGGUUAGUGUGUUAGCUGGUUAGCUUGUUAGUUUGUUAGCUGGUUAGUUUGUUAGUGUUUUAGCUGGUUAGCUUGUUAGCUGGUUAGUUUGUUAGUGUUUUAGCUGGUUAGCUUGUUAGUUUGUUAGCUGGUUAGUUUGUUAGUGUUUUAGCUGGUUAGCUGGUUAGUUUGUUAGUGUUUUAGCUGGUUAGUUUGUUAGCUGGUUAGUUUGUUAGUGUUUUAGCUGGUUAGCUUGUUAGCUGGUUAGUUUGUUAGUGUUUUAGCUGGUUAGCUUGUUAGCUGGUUAGUUUGUUAGUGUUUUAGCUGGUUAGCUUAUUAGCUGGUUAGUUUGUUAGUGUUUUAGCUGGUUAGCUUGUUAGCUGGUUAGUGUGUUAGCUGGUUAGCUUGUUAGUUUGUUAGCUGGUUAGUUUGUUAGUGUUUUAGCUGGUUAGCUUGUUAGCUGGUUAGUUUGUUAGUGUUUUAGCUGGUUAGCUUGUUAGCUGGUUAGCUUAUUAGCUGGUUAGUUUGUUAGUGUUUUAGCUGGUUAGUUUGUUAGCUGGUUAGUUUGUUAGUGUUUUAGCUUGUUAGCUGGUUAGCUUAUUAGCUGGUUAGUUUGUUAGUGUUUUAGCUGGUUAGCUUGUUAGCUGGUUAGUUUGUUAGCUGGUUAGUUUGUUAGCUGGUUAGCUUAUUAGCUGGUUAGUUUGUUAGUGUUUCAGCUGGUUAGUUGUUAAAUGGUAAGUUUAUUAGCUGGUUAGCUUUUUAGUGUUUAGCUGGUUAGUUUGUUAGCUGGUUAGCUUGUUAACUAGUUAGCUGUUUAGCUUGUUAGUUGGCUAGCGUGUUAAUCCCACCAUGCUUUGAGGCCACACUGGUUGCCGAGCAGCGGGCCGGUGGCUAGCGGCAGCUAGCGGCAGCUAACAGGGCGUCCACGUCGCUCGCCGCUGCUCCUGGAGAAGGACGAGCUGCGUCGCUAACGAGCCGAGCCAUCCGUCUCCUCAGAGCCGCGUCCGCUCUCUUCACGGUCGACCGCGUCCAACACUUGGCCGACGUGCGGUCCCCAUAACAACUCACAACAGUCGGCAUUUACUUUUCCUACUCGUCAACUGACCACCAACAUCCGUUAAAUAUUCUUUGAUGCCUAUCGUGGUCCUGAACACUCAGAACGUGUGGUCCCAUGCGCUUGAGAAUGAUUGCAUUGGUUAAAAGAUUUAAUGAGGUUGGACUUACUUCAUUUAAUAAUAUUUUUGGAAUGCUUCCUCUGUCCUUGGAAAUACAAUAGUGCACAGCCAGCAAAAAAAAUGGUCCAGGGUGGCAACUCGAUUCCUUCUAUAAACUUUAUUGUGCCAACGCGAUGCAGAGAACGGCCUCUCUCCUCUGGGCUCUUCUAGUCUGUCUAUGAACGGCCUGAAAGAGGAGCUGUUUUUAUUAUUAUUAAUAAUAAUAAUGCAUCCUUUAUUAUACCCCUUUAUUGGGAAAACAUUGUCCCCCCCACACACCAACACACACAGGUGAAAUCCCUUUGCAUGGCUGAGGUUGCGGCUGGUCACGGUGCACAUAAAACGGUUGUCAGUUUGUUUUUUGUGCAUUUUAUUGAGUGGCUCGAGUUGCCGUCUUUUUGCGUUCUUUGCUUUCAAUGUGGUUUUUAACUGCAUCGUGCUUAUGGUCCAUAAAGGGGAACGGUUCAAGGGAAUGCAUUUUAACGUGUGUGUUGUUUUUUCCUUUCAUACAGCGCAGCGUUAUUUGCCUCCGUGUGUAUUUCGCGAGGAGACGUCCAUCAUAUCGUUCGGUUAUCGGGACCAUACGUGAGUUUUAUUACAAAUCGUGCAAUUUGUAGUGUUUCAGUUCAGAUUAUUACAAAAGUUACUGUGAUUUCUCAGUGUGCAUUUUAUGUUUGAGAAAUAGCCUUAAUGCAUAACGUGUCCUACUAUAUGUGUUUUCGUGAGCCAUGUAAGUGCUUUUAUACGAGCGCUGGCCUUUAACUACUCUGCAGGUAUUUCACACGUGCACAGUUCCAUAAAGACCCAAUAAAAACCCUGCAGCCGUUUAAUGACUUCAUGGGAUCUAGAUGUAAAUGCUCUCGCUGUUGGAAAGCGUAAAGAACGGUUAAUUUAACUCGCUCGCCGCUCUAAAGGAAUAUUACCUCUUUAUUGUAUUUCCUUUGUAUUUAACCUCAACCCUGAAAGGAAGGAGAGGAACUGGGGAAUCUCCAGGGGGAUCCAAUUAUAUUUUCUCUCGUGUUUCCUGCAAUAAAAUUACUUUGCAACAAGA